rfam:Triticum urartu cultivar G1812 contig414969, whole genome shotgun sequence.
GUAUAAGAUGAUGAUCAAUGAUUAGUUUCCCUACUGGUGUGAUUAGCCAACAUGAUGGGCUAUAUAUUGAACCAAAUCUGAUUAGCC